AGACGCAGCAAACUGCGAAACGUAAUGCGAAUUGCAGAACUCGUGAAUCAUCAAAUCUUUGAAUGCAAGUAGCGCUCUCGGGUAAUCCUGGGAGCAUGUCUGUUUGAGGAAAAAUACGGAAAGACCAAUAUCCAAUUUUUGUUCGUUUUCGCAAGGGAACGAGCAGCUGAUGGGCGGGAUCGAGCUCUUUGAGUUGAGAUCCGUGUCCACUGUCUGUCGWGUGCUAUGCACAGGGCAAAGUAGUGGUCGCCUGAAAAGUAUAUGGUUGUUCGUUGAGUGCAGUUUCCACUUUUUAGCUGGACCGAGCAGCUCUCAUCGCCUGAGUCACAUCAUUGUUUAUUCAUUGGUCCGAUUCGUGUGAGUAGUAGCUUGUUGAACACAUCAAAGUGACGUACGGUACGAGAACUUUUACCAUCUGAAAAGAAAAAAUUUCGAUCGCUUUUAUCAAAUCAGACAUGAUGACCCGCUGAAUUUAAGCAUAUCAAUAAGCGG
rnacentral:rRNA from 1 species